UACGAAGGGGGCUAGCGUUGUUCGGAAUUACUGGGCGUAAAGCGCGCGCAGGCGGCUAUCCAAGUCAGUGGUGAAAGCCCGGAGCUCAACUCCGGAACUGCCAUUGAAACUGUUUAGCUUGAGGAUGAGAGAGGUGAGUGGAAUUCCCAGUGUAGAGGUGAAAUUCGUAGAUAUUGGGAAGAACACCGGUGGCGAAGGCGGCUCACUGGACGACUGUUGACGCUGAGGUGCGAAAGCGUGGGGAGCAAACAGG
rnacentral:rRNA from 1 species